AAAUAACCUGGCGGCAGGCUACACUGCAGUCAAACGGUACAGGAUGUGCUUGCACAUCGCUGACGAGUGGCGGACGGGUGAGUAAUGCUUAGGGAUCUGCCUCUGUGUGGGGGAUAACUAUUGGAAACGAUAGCUAAUACCGCAUAAUGUUUACGGACCAAAGGGGGCGUUUGCUCCCGCGCAGAGAGGAACCUAAGUGAGAUUAGCUAGUUGGUAAGGUAAUGGCUUACCAAGGCGACGAUCUCUAGCUGUUCUGAGAGGAAGAUCAGCCACACUGGGACUGAGACACGGCCCAGACUCCUACGGGAGGCAGCAGUGGGGAAUAUUGCACAAUGGGGGGAACCCUGAUGCAGCCAUGCCGCGUGUGUGAAGAAGGCCUUCGGGUUGUAAAGCACUUUCAGUUGUGAGGAAAGGUUAGUAGUUAAUACCUGCUAGCUGUGACGUUAGCAACAGAAGAAGCACCGGCUAACUCCGUGCCAGCAGCCGCGGUAAUACGGAGCGGUGCGAGCGUUAAUCGGAAUUACUGGGCGUAAAGCGCACGCAGGCGGUUUGUUAAGCUAGAUGUGAAAGCCCCGAGCUCAACUU
rnacentral:rRNA from 1 species